rnacentral:lncRNA from 1 species
ACCCCUAAACAACAUACAAAAUCACAUACAAACAAGUAAGAUAAAAUUCUACUCCGAAGGUGAGGCUUGUAGCUUUGGCUAGCAAGAAACACUCACCAGUCUAAGCUAAAUGUAAAGCAAACAAUUGCCAAGAGUUGAAGGAGCACCAAGGACUCUUCCAAAAACACUUGGACUUGGAAUGACCUUUUACACUUUAAAGAAAUCUAACACAGAAAACCUAACCAAAAUGAACAAAACAAUUACAAAAGAAAACUAACAAUUGCUACUGUCACGUUCUGAUUUCAUUUAAAUCCAAUUGUUGGACAGCUUUGGAACAUUUUGGAGUCUCCUUGCUUUUGGGUUCAACUUUCCGUUCUCAGCUUUGGUGCCUUGCUGCUGCUUAAAAAACUCAACUGCACCAAUUCUUUCUCUCGGCUUUACUGCAAUGGAUGUGGAGGACGGAUCCAAUUUUCCCACUGCUGCAACCAAUGUUAUACUGAUUUCCAAUUUACAUCUGCAUAGCUGUAAAGUGCCAAAAGAACAAAGACUCCAAGCACUUGCAAUUUCAAUUGAAUAGGAACAAUGUUAUUCGAGAUGAGUAAUUGAAAAUGGAGUGUAGUGGCCACUUUAGUAAACUGAUUCAAUGCAUAUUACAGUAUUGGCAAACUGAGUCAUUGUGAACUGGACAACAAAUUUGGCACACAGCUUUGGCUUCUCACAAGAAUAUUGCUGUAAUUGACCAGCUAACUAAACUCAAAGCUGCAAGGUGGAUUUUCUGUGCUGUAACCGUGAGCAAGCAAAGAAUUCUACUGUCAAGCAUUAUGCAGUUUGCUGUCACGUAAGAUACUUCCAGUAUUGAGAAUUCUGCUGCACUAGAAAGCCACCUCGCCUUGCGGUUUCCACCAAUUUCCCACUUCUUAGGAUGCUACCAAGAUGCAAAGCCAUCUGGAACUGAUCUACAACCACUACAACACUAACACGGAUCCAGAACCAACAAGGUUAAUGCAAAAAUUGAAUGAAUAUACUACUGCAGCAGAUGCAAUCAAAAACGCCCCACUGUGAUUAUCACAAACAAUUGGUGGGCAGAAUUCCAAACAAUUAAAAAAUCAAUCAAUUAAUCGGUGUUCAAUGAUAGGUGGAACUCAAAAGGAACUUAGGAAAGGUUCUAGAGUAGAUUUGAAAAGCAAGAAACAAGGAUAAGUUGCAGAGAUAUCCAAUUCAACUCAAUUAUGAUUUAUGCAAAAAAUGUUCGAAGAAAUGCCUCAAUGAAAUGCUGCUAACUAUGCAUCCAAUUGCAGAUUUAUGUUAUCUGGCACGAGUUUCAUUUGCUUUUUCUUAUUCAGCAUAUACUUAUGUUUUGAAUUAUGCUUUCAAUUCUUUUCUUUAAUGAUUGAAACCAUGCAUUUUGCUACCAAUGUUCAUACAAGAUGGAUGCACAAUUCACAGCAACAGCAACAUAAAACACUGCAACUUAUUCACAAGAAAUUUGGCUGAAAUAAGGCAACUGGAUUGGCUAUAUUUAGCAGACGGUGGUAUCUUUCGUAUUUGAAGCUUUCAGCAACUUUAAUUGGCCAAAUGUGACUUAUAUAAAUGGUCAANUGAAACAAUUAAGACGUGAAUCAAAAUUUGACACUGAGUUGCUAUUUCAAGCUAAAUCAUAACCAAUGCAUUAUGCAGAUUUCAGCACAGGAUUCAAAAGUGUUUGGAUCAGAGAUUUGGCACUUGGAGCAAGUUUGAAUUGCCAAAAAUAUCAGAUUAAAAUGGNUGUAAGGCACUGCAUACGGUCAGUUCAAAAUUUCACCACCUAGGUUGCUCAAUUCAACCAAAAAUCGGUCCAACACACUAGCCAAAAUGCAACAAAACAUUCAAACCGCUAUGAAACAAGUUUUGGUGACUCUAAACAGCAAAACAGAUUUAAACAAGACUCUAGAAUUGCAUUGAAAGAUGUCCAGAAAUGAAUUCUAUGUUGGACAGAUUAAAAAAAAAAAUAUGAAACCAGAUGCAAUGACUGCAGA